CAGCGUGCGGGGGCGGCCGGCCUGGGGGCAGCGCGCAUCCCUCCCUCCUCCGCCGGCCCUGGCCCCCGGCUCCCCCGCCCUCCCGAUCCCCGAGCUGCACCAAACAGCUCUUAGGUUUCUGCUGAUACUGCAGCGUCAAGAAAUGGCUCGAGUUUGCUCCUCGCUCUUAUGCAUUCAGCUGCACUCUCGCUCCUGCCACACGCGUCCAGCUCCUGCCUCCUCCUGCCUCCGCCGCUGCUGCUGCCGGGACGAGCCAAGACCGACUCCGGGGAUGCGGCUGCAGGGCUGCGGCGCUCUGACAUCUCCUCCGCCGCCGCUGCCCAGCGCCCGGCUCCUUUUCCAGCUGUCCUAAGACAAGAGAGCUGGAGAGGCAGCAGCUAUCUAGGACUCCUUGAUUUUAUUGACUAACUCAAGCCUUUUGGAAAAGUGUCUCGCAGGCAGCCCUGUAAAGCGAUCGCUGCGUUAUAAAGAGGGGCGCAAGAGGAGGAGGAGGGUUAAGUUUGCCGCUGCGGUUUUUGUUUUGGUUUGGUUUUUUUUGGAUGCUGCUGCAAGGCGACUUGACGCAUUCCGGCACUGGCUCCUACUCCUGAGCGGCGCGUCUCACCCGGAGCAGCUUCGUGGCAGCAGCUGCGGCGAUGGUGAAGCCGGCAAGAAAAGUGGACGGAUCGAGUUAAAGGCUAAAGGAGACGGCUGGGGAGGGGAACUCCAGCCUGGGGGUGCACUCCAUAGACCUUCAACCUCCCGGUGUGGGGGACAGGACCCCUCACCUUACCUGCCCUCUGCCUCCCCUAAAGGUACUUCUUCCCUCUUUCUUCACCCUCCCAUCAUCCCUGAUGCCUCUCCCUUCAUCCUGCCUCUCUUUUCCCCUUUUGGGUAUUUCCAUCCUUUAGGCUCCCCUUCCACCCUUUCCUCAAGCUCCCCAGCUCAACCCCCUCAACCUCCCCCACCUUGAACUGCCCUGGGUCUAUCUGUGCUUCUCCAUCCUCCUCCUCCUCCCUUUCCCUCACUUUCUCCCCUACCCCUUGG
rnacentral:lncRNA from 1 species